rnacentral:rRNA from 1 species
AGAGUUUGAUCCUGGCUCAGAGUGAACGCUGGCGGCAGGCCUAACACAUGCAAGUCGAACGGCAGCACAGCGGUAGCAAUACCGUGGGUGGCGAGUGGCGGACGGGUGAGGAAUACAUGGGAAUCUACCCUGUCGUGGGGGAUAACGUAGGGAAACUUACGCUAAUACCGCAUACGACCGAGAGGUGAAAGCGGCGGACCGCAAGGCGUCGCGCGAUUGGAUGAGCCCAUGUCGGAUUAGCUAGUUGGCGGGGUAAAGGCCCACCAAGGCGACGAUCCGUAGCUGGUCUGAGAGGAUGAUCAGCCACACUGGAACUGAGACACGGUCCAGACUCCUACGGGAGGCAGCAGUGGGGAAUAUUGGACAAUGGGCGCAAGCCUGAUCCAGCCAUGCCGCGUGAGUGAAGAAGGCCUUCGGGUUGUAAAGCUCUUUUGUCCGGAAAGAAAAGCCUUCGGUUAAUACCCGGGGGUGAUGACGGUACCGGAAGAAUAAGCAACCGGCUAACUUUCGU